UCAUCUUAUAGGUGGUGAUAAGAGAGCAAGUCUUUAAGGAAACACCACCAGUAACUCUGAGAGCUCAGAAGACUGAGGCAUUCUCUCUAAAAUGAGGCAGCCCUGGAUUUUCCAAGCUUUACAGGUAGUUUAAGAAAAUAUCGGGGGAGGAGCCAAGAUGGCCGAAUAGGAACAGCUCCGGUCUACAGCUCCCAGCGUGAGCGACGCAGUAGACGGGUGAUUUCUGCAUUUCCAUCUGAGACUCUUGCAUUCUGACAACUGACUGACUCCACCUGAACCUCUGACUUACACCAAGGAAAUGGCUCCCACCCAGAAACUGACUCAGUGUGUGAAAACAGUUUGGACACUUCCAUGAAUUCAUCCCCAACCAAUCAGCAGUAUUCAUUUCUUAGA